GGUAAGCUGACAAAGAUAUCUUUAUAUAUUAGUAGAAAAUCCCUGGAAAGGGAUACCAUAGAGUGUGAUAGUCACGUAUACGAAAAUAUAUAAAGAGCUUUCUAAUUUCUUGAGUACCACGAAGUAAGUGAAAUUUUGUGGGAAUCUACCAAAACCACUUGGUAAGGCUAAAUAUUUUUUGCGACCGAUAGUGGACAAGUUCCGUGAGGGAAAGGUGAAAAGCACCCCUGUUAGGGGAGUGAAAUAGUACUGAAACCGUAUGCUUACAAACAGUCGGAGUCCCGCUAACUUAUAGUUUGAAGAAAUUGAUUCAUAGCUAGUUAAUAGCUGAUGUGUAUACUUUUAAGUAUGUAUUUUGUAUAUGUAAUUAAAGCUAGAAAUAGAAGAAAGGCAGAGUAUUAUAUUGGAGUAUCCUCAGAUUUAAUCCGAAGACUGCAAGAACAUAAUUCUCCAUUCAACACUGGAUAUACCAGAGAUAAUAAAUGGGAAAUAGUUUAUGUAGAAGGAUACUUAAAGAAACAUAUUGCUUAUGAUAGAGAGAAGAAAUUAAAACAAUAUGGCAAUGUAUGGCACUCAGUUAUGAAAAGAGUUAAGAGUCAAUUCGAAUUAUAGGUUAGCGGGAUGACGGCGUGCCUAUUGAAGAAUGAUCCUGCGAGUUCGUUGUGUGCAGCAAGGUUAACCAUGUUUAUUGGGGAGCCGGAGCGAAAGCGAGUCUGAAUAAGGCGAUUCUAGUUGCAUGCACGAGACCCGAAACCAGGUGAUCUAACCAUGAGCAAGGCGAAGCAGUAGGAAACUACUGUGGAGGCCUGAACUCGUUAAUGUUGCAAAAUUAUGAGAUGACUUGUGGUUAGCGGUAAUAUGCCAAACGAACCUGGUUAUAGCUGGUUCUCCCUGAAAUAGCUUUAGGGCUAGCGUCUUGAUUUAAACUUUGGGGGUAGAGCACUAAUUAGAUUUGAGGCUCGAAAGGGUACUCAAUCUAGUUAAACUCCGAAUACCAUUGUGAAUAUCAAGGCAGUUAGACGUAUGGAGCUAAGUUCAUAUCGUCGAGAGGGAAACAGCCCAGAUUACCGGAUAAGGUCCCAAAGUUCUACCUGAGUGGAAAAGGUGGUAGAGUUUCUUGGACAGCUAGGAGGUUAGCUUAGAGGCAGCUAUCCUUUAAAAAGUGCGUAAAAGCUUACUAGUCAAGAGAUUCUGCGUCGAAAAUUCAGCGGGGCUGAAGGUAGACACCGAAGCCGUAAUUUUAUCCCGCUAACUUAUAGUAUGAGAGUAGAGUUGUGAAUAACAAUCUUUCGUACUCUAGGUUAGCGGGAUGGGAGGUAAGGGAGCGUUCUAUACAUGAUCAACCUAGCAGUUGAUAAUUAGCUGUGAAGGUGGCCCGUAAGGAGCUGCUGGAGCGUAUAGAAGUGAGAAUGCAGGAAUGAGUAACGAAAAACAGGUGAAAACCCUGUUCGCCGAAUGUCUAAGGUUUCCAUGGCUAUGUCAGUCAUCCAUGGGUUAGUCGGUCCUAAGGGGAGGCAGAAAUGCGUACCCGAUGGACAACGGGUCAAUAUUCCCGUACCGCUAACAUUUCGCGAUGGAGUGCAGGAUUUGAAAAUGCAAGCCCCUCAUUGGUUUGGGGUGUAAGCAACGAGUUAGCUUUCCCAGGUAAAUCCGGGAAAGUGUUUUCCACUUCGGUGGAAGAAAGCGAGUUGUGAUGCAAAGGUGAUCUUCGGAAAACCGAUUUGUUGGAUUAAAUUCUCAGGAAAAACUUCUAGCUUUGAUUGUCUUCGGACAAUCGUAAAAAUGUUGGUGACCGUACUGCAAACCGACACAGGUAGACUGGUGUAAAUGCACCAAGGCGUACGAGUGAUGCGUUGUUAAGGAACUCGGCAAAUUAACCCCGUAAGUUAGCGAGAAGGGGGGCCUUCUAUCAUGAAUAUUUAUUUAUUGGUGGUAAUGAAGGUGGCACAGAAUAGGGAGGAGCGACUAGUUAACAAAACUACAGGUGCUUGCAAACUCGUAAGAGGAUGUAUAAGUGCUGACACCUGCCCAAUGCCAGAAGGUUAAGGAAGCUUGUUAAUCUACUGCUAGAUGCACUUCGGUGCUCUAGUGGUGAUGAAGCGGGUGACCGAAGCCCUGGUCAAUGGCGGCUGUAACUAUAACGGUCCUAAGGUAGCGUAAUACCUCGCCACUUAAUUAGUGGCUUGCUUGAAAGGUGUAACGACUCUUCCACUGUCUCGACAGCGCGCUCGGUGAAAU
rnacentral:rRNA from 1 species